rnacentral:rRNA from 1 species
GAUCAACGCUGGCGGCGUGCCUAAUACAUGCAAGUCGAGCGAACAGAUGAGGAGCUUGCUCCUCUGACGUUAGCGGCGGACGGGUGAGUAACACGUGGAUAACCUACCUAUAAGACUGGGAUAACUUCGGGAAACCGGAGCUAAUACCGGAUAAUAUAUUGAACCGCAUGGUUCAAUAGUGAAAGACGGUUUUGCUGUCACUUAUAGAUGGAUCCGCGCCGCAUUAGCUAGUUGGUAAGGUAACGGCUUACCAAGGCAACGAUGCGUAGCCGACCUGAGAGGGUGAUCGGCCACACUGGAACUGAGACACGGUCCAGACUCCUACGGGAGGCAGCAGUAGGGAAUCUUCCGCAAAGGGCGAAAGCCUGACGGAGCAACGCCGCGUGAGUGAUGAAGGUCUUCGGAUCGUAAAACUCUGUUAUUAGGGAAGAACAAAUGUGUAAGUAACUAUGCACGUCUUGGCGGUACCUAAUCAGAAAGCCACGGCUAACUACGUG